rnacentral:lncRNA from 1 species
CUUGGAGGAGCCAUAGCUGUCUAUAGGCGAUUGUAUCCAGGGGGUGGGUGUGGAGGAACAGGAGAAAUUUAGCAGUGUGCAAAAAAGGUAGAAGCAGCAUCAGGAAUAAAAGAAGGGUGGAUGGAUGGAUCGGGCUACGGGCGAGAAAUAUUCGUGUAGUAACUGAGCCACCAGCAUUUUACAGAGGAUCAAGACUGCUAAAAGCUUUUGAAAGGUCGUUCAUUCCAGCCUACAUUUGAAGUGGCUACAUGCAGCCAGAGAGACUGGAGUGUAUAACUCAGGAGUUAAAUAGUAACUUCCUCUUCAGGACUACUCAUGGUAUUAAGCACCAUGCCUGAUAAGUGUUUUCAGAAUCCAAGCCCCUAAAUUAAGACAGAAGUGGAGAUGACAACAUGAUUAUGCAUUCACUGGAGAAGCUAUUCCAUGUGGUUUGAAUCCAAUCCAAUCCCUGUGAAAGUCAACGGAAAGACUCCUAUCGAUGUUAUUCUUAGCUAUCCAGACAGUUUUGACUAGCUGCUUCCAGGGAAGAGAGAGAAAUCCAAAUGACCCAAGUGAAGGUUUCUCUGUGGAGGUUCACAUCCUUCUUGCAAAUCACUUUAAAAUGGCUUUCUACUUUCUGGCUUUCUAAAGUCAUCUUCAGAAAGCUGCAUUAAAGAAGACCUCAGGACCUGGUUUGCUUUCC